GGGGCUAUAGCUCAGCUGGGAGAGCGCUUGCAUGGCAUGCAAGAGGUCAGCGGUUCGAUCCCGCUUAGC
rnacentral:tRNA from 17 species